rnacentral:rRNA from 1 species
GAUAAACUCCGAAUGCCAUGUACUUAUACUCGGGAGUCAGACUGCGAGUGAUAAGAUCCGUAGUCGAAAGGGAAACAGCCCAGACCACCAGUUAAGGUCCCCAAAUAUAUGUUAAGUGGAAAAGGAUGUGGGGUUGCUUAGACAACCAGGAUGUUGGCUUAGAAGCAGCCACCAUUGAAAGAGUGCGUAAUAGCUCACUGGUCGAGUGACCCCGCGCCGAAAAUGUACCGGGGCUAAACAUAUUACCGAAACUGUGGAUGAACCUCUUUAGAGGUUCGUGGUAGGAGAGCGUUCUAAGGGCGGUGAAGUCAGACCGGAAGGACUGGUGGAGCGCUUAGAAGUGAGAAUGCCGGUAUGAGUAGCGAAAGAAGGGUGAGAAUCCCUUCCACCGAAUAUCUAAGGUUUCCUGAGGAAGGCUCGUCCGCUCAGGGUUAGUCGGGACCUAAGCCGAGGCCGAUAGGCGUAGGCGAUGGACAACAGGUAGAGAUUCCUGUACCAGUGCUAAUUGUUUAACCGAUGGGGUGACACAGAAGGAUAGGGAAUCGCACGAAUGGAAAUGUGCGUCCAAGCAGUGAGUGUGAG